AUUGAACGCUGGCGGCAUGCUUUACACAUGCAAGUCGAACGGCAGCGCGGGCUUCGGCCUGGCGGCGAGUGGCGAACGGGUGAGUAAUGCAUCGGAACGUGCCCAGUAGUGGGGGAUAGCCCGGCGAAAGCCGGAUUAAUACCGCAUACGACCUGAGGGUGAAAGCGGGGGACCGAAAGGCCUCGCGCUAUUGGAGCGGCCGAUGUCGGAUUAGCUAGUUGGUGGGGUAAAGGCUUACCAAGGCGACGAUCCGUAGCUGGUCCGAGAGGACGACCAGCCACACUGGGACUGAGACACGGCCCAGACUCCUACGAGAGGCAGCAGUGGGGAAUUUUGGACAAAGGGGGCAACCCUGAUCCAGCCAUGCCGCGUGCGGGAAGAAGGCCUUCGGGUUGUAAACCGCUUUUGUUCGGGAAGAAAUCCUCUGGGCUAAUACCCCGGGGGGAUGACGGUACCGGAAGAAUAAGCACCGGCUAACUACGUG
rnacentral:rRNA from 1 species